ACGGAAGGCAGCAGUGGGGAAUCUUCCGCAAUGGGCGAAAGCCUGACGGAGCAAUGCCGCGUGAGCGAAGAAGGCCUUCGGGUUGUAAAGCUCUGUCCUUAUUGAAGAGGGGUAUUAGUGUGAAUAAUGCUGAUAUAGGACGGUAAAUAAGGAGGAAGCCCCGGCUAACUACGUGCCAGCAGCCGCGGUAAUACGUAGGGGGCAAGCGUUGUCCGGAAUCACUGGGCGUAAAGGGCGCGCAGGCGGUUCAGUAAGUCGGGGGUGAAAACUGAGGGCUCAACUCUCAGCCUGCCAUCGAUACUGCUGAACUUGAGUAUGGAAGAGGAGAAUGGAAUUCCUAGUGUAGCGGUGAAAUGCGUAGAUAUUAGGAGGAACACCAGUGGCGAAGGCGGCUUACUGGACUGUAACUGACGUUGAGGCUCGAAAGCGUGGGGAGCAGACAGGAUUAGAUACCCUGGUA
rnacentral:rRNA from 1 species